GAUGAAGAACGUAGCGAAAUGCGAUAAGUAGUGUGAAUUGCAGAAUUCAGUGAAUCAUCGAAUCUUUGAACGCACAUUGCGCCCCUUGGUAUUCCAUGGGGCAUGCCUGUUCAAGCGUCAUUUGUACCUUCAAGCUUUGCUUGGUGUUGGGUGUUUGUCCCGAGGGACUCGCCUUAAAGUAAUUGGCAGCCAGUGUUUGGUUUUGAAGCGCAGCACAAGUCGCGAUUCAAGGCUACACGCCCGCUUCCACAAGCCUUUUUUCACUUUUGACCUCGGAUCAGGUAGGGAUACCCGCUGAACUUAAGCAUAUCAAUAAGCGGAGGA
rnacentral:misc_RNA from 1 species